CUUUUGCAACGACGCGACGGACACGGGACGGAUCGGCUCCGGGACGAGCGGCGUCACGAACGCGUUUAAUUGCAAACAGAUGUUGCGUGAAUAUCACGGAGAAUAACAGAAGAAAAGAAGACCAGGGAAGAUGGUCAUACGAUUAGUGUAUACGUGCAACUUCGCUAUUGUGUGCAUUGUGAUGCGAAUGCAACUCGAGAAGAAGUUCUGACAACUAGUAAGGAAGUGGAGAAAGAGACUUGAGACAAUCUGAGAAGAAGAGAUGGAGGCCUAGGAAAGGCAUCAGCCACCGGUGGAGCAACUUUGCGAAUCAUCGUAGCUACGUGACUGAUAACUUCACUGUUGCGCAUCGAUCGAAUCAACAGGAAGGGAAAUACAGCAGCAUCAGCAUCAGCAACAGCAACAACCGA
rnacentral:lncRNA from 13 species